rnacentral:snRNA from 1 species
AUACUUACCUGACGAGGACCAUACUGGGAUCAGGCAGCCAGUGGGUCCAGGGCGAGGCUUUGCCAUUGCACAUCGGCUUAGCUGACCCUGCGAUUACCCC